UACGUAGGGUGCAAGCGUUGUCCGGAAUUAUUGGGCGUAAAGAGCGUGUAGGCGGCCCCGUUAGUCCGCUGUGAAAGUCCAGGGCUCAACCCUGGAAUGCCGGUGGAAACUGUCGAGCUAGAGUCCGGAAGAGGCGAGUGGAAUUCCUGGUGUAGCGGUGAAAUGCGCAGAUAUCAGGAGGAACACCAAUGGCGAAGGCAGCUCGCUGGGACGGUACUGACGCUGAGACGCGAAAGCGUGGGGAGCAAACAGG
rnacentral:rRNA from 1 species